CUAGCCGUAAACGAUGGGCACUGGGUAGGGGGGAAGCCUAUGCUCUUCCCUGCCGAAGCAAAUGUAUUAAGUGCCCCGCCUGGGGAGUACGCUCGCAAGGGUAAAACUCAAAGGAAUUGACGGGGGCUCACACAAGCGGUGGAGCAUGUGGUUCAAUUCGAAGCAACGCGAAGAACCUUACUUGGCCUUGACAUCCAUGGAUUAGUCCCCUGAAAGGGGGAGUACUGCUCUUCGGAGCCGGAACAUGGACAGGUGUUGCAUGGCUGUCGUCAGCUCGUGUCGUGAGAUGUUGGGUUAAGUCCCGUAACGAGCGCAACCCUUGUCGCUAGUUGCCAGCGGGUAAUGCCGGGGACUCUAGCGAGACCGCCGGUGUCAAACCG
rnacentral:rRNA from 1 species